UGAUCUUACUAUGUCAUCCUCUUGUAAUUGCAUCAAGCGUCUAACCAGUCUGUCUAGUGCUUCUUUCAUCCACCAAUGUUGACACAGUUCUCUAGCCUCAGCAAAAGAGAAUGGA